CCUUUGUGGCGAAGUGGGUGAUCCUAUGCUGCCGAGAAAAGCCUCUAGUGAGUGUCGUGGCGGCCCGUACCCCAAACCGACUCAGGUGGUCAGGUAGAGAAUACCAAGGCGAUCGGGUGAACUGUGGUUAAGGAACUCGGCAAAUUGCCCCCGUAACUUCGGGAGAAGGGGGGCCUCCGCUGGUGAUCAGACUUGCUUUGUGAGCUGGUGGGGGUCGCAGAGGCCAGGGGGAAGCGACUGUUUACUAAAAACACAGGUCCGUGCGAAGUCGUAAGACGAUGUAUACGGACUGACGCCUGCCCGGUGCUGGAACGUUAAGGGGACCGGUUAGCGCACUUCGGUGUGCGAGGCUGAGAACUUAAGCGCCAGUAAACGGCGGUGGUAACUAUAACCAUCCUAAGGUAGCGAAAUUCCUUGUCGGGUAAGUUCCGACCUGCACGAAUGGCGUAACGACUUCCCCGCUGUCUCAACCGCAGACCCGGCGAAAUUGCACUACGAGUAAAGAUGCUCGUUACGCGCAGCAGGACGGAAAGACCCCGGGACCUUCACUACAGCUUGACAUUGGCGUUUGGAACGUCUUGUGUAGGAUAGGUGGGAGACUGUGAAGCUGUCACGCUAGUGGCGGUGGAGUCAUUGGUGAAAUACCACUCUGGUCGUUUUGAACGUCUAACUUCGGUCCGUGAUCCGGAUCAGGGACAGUGUCUGGUGGGUAGUUUAACUGGGGCGGUUGCCUCCUAAAGAGUAACGGAGGCGCCCAAAGGUUCCCUCAGCCUGGUUGGUAAUCAGGUGUCGAGUGUAAGUGCACAAGGGAGCUUCACUGUGAGACCGACGGGUCGAGCAGGAGCGAAAGCUGGGACUAGUGAUCCGGCGGUGGCAUGUGGAAGCGCCGUCGCUCAACGGCUAAAAGGUACCCCGGGGAUAACAGGCUGAUCUUCCCCAAGAGUCCAUAUCGACGGGAUGGUUUGGCACCUCGAUGUCGGCUCGUCGCAUCCUGGGGCUGGAGUAGGUCCCAAGGGUUGGGCUGUUCGCCCAUUAAAGCGGUACGCGAGCUGGGUUUAGAACGUCGCGAGACAGUUCGGUCCCUAUCCGCUGCGCGCGCAGGAGACUUGAAAGGAGCUGUCCCUAGUACGAGAGGACCGGGACGGACGAACCUCUGGUGUGCCAGUUGUUCCGCCAGGAGCAUGGCUGGUUGGCUACGUUCGGAAGGGAUAACCGCUGAAAGCAUCUAAGCGGGAAGCUCGCCUUGAGAUGAGGUCUCCCACCACGAAAGUGGGUAAGGCCCCCGGGAGACGACCGGGUUGAUAGGCCGGAGGUGGAAGCAUGGUAACGUGUGGAGCUGACCGGUACUAAUAGGCCGAGGACUUGACCAA
rnacentral:rRNA from 1 species